CCUACGGGCGGCUGCAGUGGGGAAUAUUGGACAAUGGGGGGAACCCUGAUCCAGCCAUGCCGCGUGUGUGAAGAAGGCCCUCGGGUUGUAAAGCACUUUCAGUGAGGAAGAACGCCUGGUGGUUAAUACCCAUCAGGAAAGACAUCACUCACAGAAGAAGCACCGGCUAACUCCGUGCCAGCAGCCGCGGUAAUACGGAGGGUGCGAGCGUUAAUCGGAAUUACUGGGCGUAAAGCGCGCGUAGGUGGCUUGAUAAGCCGGUUGUGAAAGCCCCGGGCUCAACCUGGGAACGGCAUCCGGAACUGUCAAGCUAGAGUGCAGGAGAGGAAGGUAGAAUUCCCGGUGUAGCGGUGAAAUGCGUUGAGAUCGGGAGGAAUACCAGUGGCGAAGGAGGCCUUCUGGACUGACACUGACACUGAGGUGCGAAAGCGUGGGUAGCACACAGGAUUAGAUACCCUAGUAGUC
rnacentral:rRNA from 1 species